rnacentral:rRNA from 1 species
GCCUAUCUCAGUUCGGAUUGGAGGCUGAAACCCGCCUCCAUGAAGUUGGAUUCGCUAGUAAUCGCGCAUCAGCCAUGGCGCGGUGAAUACGUUCCCGGGCCUUGUACACACCGCCCGUCAAGCCAUGGAAGCUGGGGGUGCCUGAAGUUCGUGACCGCAAGGAGCGACCUAGGGCAAAACCGGUAACUGGGGCUAAGUCGUAACAAGGUAGCCGUACCGGAAGGUGCGGCUGGAACACCUCCUUUCUGGAGC